GCAUGAGGUCAUGAGUUCGAUCACGGAUAAAAAAAAAAAAAAAGAUUAGCAUGGACCCUGUGCAACGAUGACAUGCAAAUUCCUGAAGCAUUCCAUAAUUUA
rfam:Cavia porcellus supercont2_137 genomic scaffold, whole genome shotgun sequence.